rnacentral:misc_RNA from 1 species
CUGAACCUUCUCAUCAACAAACUGCAAAAUUACACAGAAAAUUUCAGGAUUUUGCAGUGCACUUCAAAAUGAAAGCAUUCUGGAAAUGGGAGAAUAUAAAGAUUUCCAAAAGAUAAUACAAUGUAGCAUUUAGACUUAAUUUAAAAUUUUCAAGAUGAAAACAGGCAUCUGGCUACUUAAGAGUUGUUGAUAAAAUAGACCAGAUCUAAAUCUACCCCAAAAUACACCUUGUUAGGGAGGAUCAUCCAAGUCACAUAAGAAGCAUUUUUGCCUAAUACCCAGCUGAUGUGGGACUCAACACACCCCCUUAAGCUUAGGAAUAGAUAUCUCAAUCGUGGAGUUUGAAGGAUUGGCCCAUCAUCAGGUAGCCAACUAGGAUUGGCUUUGAUAUCAUUAUUGAUAAAAUGGACCAGAGUAACUCCACUCCAAAAACUAAUUAUUCAUCAUCACUGGUUGAUAAUAUUUUGCAGCCCUCCAAAAGUUACAGGUGGUUCUCUACGAUUGACCGGGAGUUGGCCUUGUGUACAAGUCCCUGUGGUGAAUUUCUUGAUGCAUAACUUCCAAGUCUCUCAUGCUGAAUCCCAAACCCAAACCCCCUUUCCGCAAACUAAACUAGAAAAGUGGAGAAACCCCUCAAAGCAAUAUGCAGUACUUAGCAAUGCACUAUUUUACAAUUACUCAUGUAAGUACCUGCAUCUGACAGCUUCAAAUUAUUGCUGGACAAUCCAAAAUAAUUGGAAAUUUCACCAAUAAAGAUGAGCCCAAUAGUUAAAACACAUACCCACAUAUGAAACCAGGAUAAUACAAGCCCAUUUAACAUAAGUAGCUAGCUUAUGAAGACGAUGUAUGAAAAAUUUUGCCAUUAGUACAUAAGAUACAUUGAUAUGCUCAGUUACCUGUUUCAAAAACAGAGCUGCUGU